rfam:Sarcophilus harrisii ctg7180002409421, whole genome shotgun sequence.
AAGGGUGUUUAAGCAUAAAACCUAACAAAUAAAGUUAAAACUCAACUGCGCUGUAAUACGCCCUAGUUGAUAUUAAAAUACGCAACUUGCGUGAUUUUACCAAUGCUGAAGACACUAAAGCUAAGGUACAAACUGGGAUUAGAGACCCCACUAUGCUUAGCCGUAAACCUAGGUAAUUAAAUAACAAAAUUACUCACCAGAGAACUACUAGCCACUGCUUAAAACUCAAAGGACUUGGCGGUACCCUAGACCCUCCUAGAGGAGCCUGUUCUAUAAUCGAUAAACCCCGAUACACCUCACCCCUUCUCGCUUAUCAGUCUAUAUACCGCCAUCGUCAGCUCACCCCAAUAGGGUGCCAAAGUGAGCAAAAUCAUGAAACCAUAAAAACGUUAGGUCAAGGUGUAGCAUAUGAAGGGGGAAGCAAUGGGCAACAUUUUCUAUAUUAGAACAUAACGGAUUGUCUACUGAAAUAAAGACAUGAAGGAGGAUUUAGUAGUAAAUUAAGAAUAGAGAGCUUAGUUGAAAUAGGCAAUAGGGUGUGCACACACCACCUGUCACCCUCCUCAAUAAAGUAACCUUCAAUACCUAAUUAGAGUACGUCAAAAAGAGGAGAAAAGUCGUAACAUGGUAAGUGUUUCUGGGAUUCUGGGAAGAUGAUGGAG